rnacentral:lncRNA from 10 species
AGUAUGUCUUUAUUAGCAGCAUAAGAACAAAAUAAAACAGAUGGAGAUGAAUCCUAUGAAGGCUAACUACAAGAUAAGAGGUUAGAGAGUAAAUGAGGAGGGGUAGAGUGGCUACAUAAUAGAAAAUGGUCCAUAAAUGCCUCUAGCAUUAGGUGAUAAUUAACUAAAACCUGGAUGAGUUGUGGAGGCAAGCCGUGCAGAUAUCUAGGAGAUAAUAAUUUCCUGAAGGGUAAUCAGGAAGUGUGAGCAUUCUGAGGUAGAGUAUGCCUAACAAAUGUCUUAUAAGACAGCAUAAGAAGGCUAGUGGGUCUGGAGUUCAGUGAAUGAGGAGACAAUGUUGAAUUCCCUGUGUCCUGGAAGUGAUCUUUCUUUCCAGAAUCCUUCUUCAAGGAAACUCAACUUCCACUUCUUUUUGGAAAAAGGGUGCAAAGGAAGCAGCUUCGAUGAAACCAGAGGCCAUUAUUCUAAGUGAAGUAACUCAGGAAUAAAAAAUCAAAUACCACAAAGGCAAAGAUACUAAGUGGUAUAAUGGACAUUGGAGGAUCAGAAGUGGGGAAGAAAGAGUGUGAAGAUUAUGGAAAUGUAUUUAUGAUCACAAACUGAGUGACAAGACCAGAGCACACACUUUUACAGGUACUUUGGAAUGAUAUCAUCACAGGAGGAACAUGGAAGUUCUACAGCACAUGUAAGAUAUGUGUUCUUAGUCACUGGCUCUUUGGAGAGUAUCUAGGCAUGGAGAUUUUAAUGACCCAGAGCAGUAGAAGACAGAGUUGAAUUAUUUCAUUGUCCUCAAACAUCAUGCAUAGGUGUCUACUGGAGACAUCACAUACCAAGUGGCUUUGCUUGAUCAAUGCCUGAAACCAGGACAUGCCAACCAGUAUUGCUCAACACUUGCAGGCAUGGAAAUGAGAUGAUGAGAGAUGGAUAACACCCACACACAGACUUUGGUUCUAUAUAAAACUUCAAGUGUUUAGAUUUGACUUCAGAGAAAAGAGUGUUGGGUUAAAUUAAGUCUCAGCCACUCCAGCAGCAAAGAGUUUUAAAUUUAUGUAUGGCAAACAUCAAGAGGAAGAUCUACAUGCUAGAAGUGAGUGACCAGAAGAUGAAAUGACUGUUAUUUUCUGGCUCAGAGGCGGAAGGGAGUUUCCAUGAGACUUUUGACUUCGACUUUUGAAUGGUGAUAUGAGUUAAGACUUUGGGAGACAUUUUUGGAAGGCAUAAUCAUGUUUUGAAAUGUGAGAAGGACAUGGGGUUUGGGAAGGGCUAGAAGUGUAAUGAUAUAGAUUGGCUCUGUGAUCCCACCUAAUGUUGAAUUGUGAUCCCGAGUAUUGGAGCUGGGGCUUGGUGAGAGGUGAUGGAUCACGGAUACAGAUUUUCUCUUUGCUGUUCUCAUGAGAUUGAGUGAUGUCUCAUGAAAUCUGAUUGUUUAAAAGUGUAUAGCACUUCUCUCUUUACUCUCUCUCUUCUGCCAUGAUGUGAAUAUGUUCUUGCUUCCCCUUCAUCCUUCUGUCAUAAUAAGUUUCUGGAGGCCUCCCCAGCCAUGCUUCCUUUAUAGCCUGUAGAACUGUGAGUCAAUUAAACUUUUCUUCUUUAUAAAUUACCCAGUCUCAGGUAGGUUUUUAUAGCAAUGUGAGAACAGACUAAUAUACUUACCAAACAGCACUGAUUUUCUGUGUUACUGUAAAGCAGCUCUAAGAACAGAAACUCCAGUUCUUGAUGGGGGGUGGGGUGAGUAUUACUUUAAGGAGAAUACUAAGAUUUAUGAUUUGGCCAUAGAAGAUACAGAGCCCUUUCCUUGAGAGAAUAUCUAAAGUUCCUAAGACUAGAUCAAAUGAUGUCCCACUGAGAGGUAAAGUGAUAUAUAUGCAUAUUCUUUAAAAGUAGUACUCUGGAAAUGUGAGAAAGAUUGAGAAAAGAGCUAUCCUGGUUAUGUAGAUAGAGAAGUUUAGUUAAUAAUGGAUACUCUUCUAAGGAACUAUAUCAGAGACCUAGAAAUAUAAGGAGAAAGGAGCAGAAUCAGCGUACACAGAUUACAGGAGAUGACAAGGGGAGAAAGUAAAGUAGAGACUUUCAUUUUUGGUCCUGUAGAAUGAAGCUGUGUAUGCCAUGGCUUUUUUACUAUAUCCAAAAAUGAAAUAUUACAGGAGUUUUAAAAAAACUCUCCUAUAGCAGGAAACCAAUGUCAUGGAGAAGACAUCCUAAGGAUGCAGAGUGCAUGACUGGAGACUAAGAUGGAAGAACAAACCUUGAUUGUGUGGAAAAUAUAUCCGGCAUUCUUCAGUAAUGAAAAAUGCAGUGAAAUCAUCACCAGUACUCUUUCUGGGACUCCUAAUGAAGAUGUACUCAUCUUGCAUGCCCACUCUGCUCUGAGCCCAGGAGAUUGACCCACAUUUUUAACUUUUGGUUGGUUUACCGGGUGCAGUCAUCGCCAGGAGACUGGAAAGCUAGCUACAGGACAGAGUGGUUAGGGUGCUACACUCUCUUGCUUUCUCCCUGUAAAGUCACAAUAGGUUGGCUUCUUUCUUGCUCAAAGACCACAAAUUUUAUUGGGUUGUUUUCUUCAACAGCCAUCAUCUCUGGGAAUCAUACUGUUCUUCCUCACCUAGAGAUAGGAUGAGCUUUCCACAACCUUAAAUAUUAGAGAUGCUACACAUACUGUGUUAUUUGUUAAAUGUGCAGGAAUAAAUAUUCUGGAGACCUAGAAUGAAUAAAAAAUUCUGGUAACCCCAGUGGAAAAUCACCAGUGUCUAAGAAAUUUUGGAGAUAUGUAGAAUGUACUUGAAUGAUUAGAAUUAGAUUACCAUGAUUUAGUCCAAGAAAACAUCUGUAUCAAUGGUUCUUUGAAGAUAUUGGAAUGUAAUGGGAAGAACAUGCAGUUUUGACAGAAUGGCUACAUAAGAAUUAGAGAAGAACAGAGAUGGUAUUUAAGAGGUGCAUCUGCAAAACAGCGUUUGAUUUGUGAAUAAAAUGAAAUUUACUGUGUGAAAUUUGUGACCAGAGGAAAUAACCUUCCACGGAUUGAAUUGCUUAUUUUUAGCAGUACUGAGUGAAGCCAACUUUGGGAUUAAAUGAACCAGUCUCCUGAAUUAUUUGAAUUACCUUGGGUUACAAGUGGUUGUUGAAGCAACGGAUUUCUCUCCUCAACUCUUGGCACUAUUAGACUGGUUACUUAUUCAGAAUACUCAGAAUGUAGGAUCACAAAUCAAUAAUAUCCAGUCUUGUCAGUUGGGAGGAGAUAUGGGUAAUUUGUGUAAGAAAGCUAGAAAAUUUAGGAGGAAAAACAAAACAAAGGAAAUUCAUUAUGAAAGACUUCAACAUAAAGAUGAAAAAUGUCAAGUGAUAAAGCAAAGUAAUUAAGUUCUUAAAUAAUAUUGAUUCAAGUAAAGACGGCAUUUAAUCACUGAGAACCACAUCUAUGGCUGACAAUGUAGAAUACGGCUGAAUCUGGUUUGCCUGUUCCAUACAGAUCUCAAAGCCUCCAGAGACCUAAACCCACUGACACCAUAAUUGCUUUGAAGAACAAUGGAGAAAUCUGAAUGGGAAUAAAAGUGACAUAGUCUUAUAACCUAAGCAUGGGUUUUCAAUGAGUUUCUGCAUGGAUUUGGGUUCUGACCAUCUGAUAUCAUCUGUAGAGAGAAAGUAUCUUCUGACUGCAUAGGGUUAAGCAUAAAUAGUAAACCGAAGUGACUUCAAGGAAAAACAGUGGCAGCAUAAACUGAACGUACUCCAGUUUCUUCUACUGCUGUCUUCAGAAGUUGACUGAACCACUAAUCUUUAGAAUUGAGAGAGCUAUGAGUUCUUAGCCAUUUUGUAAGGAGUUGAACAGCUUCAUUAAAUACUGAUAGCGAUCAGAGGCAGCCAAAUCCCUAGCCAGAUAGGGGCAAGUAGCCUGUAAAACCCCACCUCCAAGCUGAAGACAGUUUGAAGCCUGUAAGCCAAGCUACAAAUUAAAUCCUUGGACCAGACUGAGAAGUUGUCUUCCUUUUUGGCAUGCAUCCCUCUGAUUUUUACCCCCUGCUUCACUCUAUUUUACAUAUACCUACCAUUUCCUAAUUGGAUUUCUACACUGUUGUGCCGACUUUUGAGUGGUGUCUUUGCUUUAACCUUUUUUGCAUACUAACAAACCAAUCAGAAUGCACUCCCCAUCCUGUGCCUAUAUAGACCUCAGACUCAGGUGGUGGAGGAGGAGAUGGCCUGACUUCGGGGAAGAGACAGCAUAACUUUGGGGAAGAUGACCUGCCUUUCCCAUCCUCUCUCCAGCUCCCCUCUCUGCUGACAGCCAUUUUCAUGGCUCAGUAAAAUUCUCUGCCUUCACCAUCCUUCAAUCAUCCAUGUGACCUCAUUAUUCUUGGACACUAGACAAGAGCUCGGGAACCACCAAGUGCACGUACCCAAGAAAGGCUGUCAAACUAGCCCUUUUCUCUAACUGGUGGAUGACAGCCACCCUAUGUGACAAGGCAAGAGGCCAACUGAGCUGCUAACAUGCCACUGUCCAUUGGACUGUGACACUAAAUAAGCACUGUAACACCCA